GACGUAGGGCGCAAGCGUUGUCCGGAAUUAUUGGGCGUAAAGAGCUCGUAGGCGGCCAGUUGCGUCUGCUGUGAAAUCCCGGGGCUCAACCCCGGGCGUGCAGUGGAUACGGGCUGGCUAGAGGCAGGCAGGGGAGAACGGAAUUCCCGGUGUAGCGGUGAAAUGCGCAGAUAUCGGGAGGAACACCGGUGGCGAAGGCGGUUCUCUGGGCCUGUACUGACGCUGAGGAGCGAAAGCGUGGGGAGCGAACAGG
rnacentral:rRNA from 1 species